AGUGGCGGACGGGUGAGUAACGCGUGGGUAACCUUCCUUGUACUGGGGGACAACAGUUAGAAAUGACUGCUAAUACCGCAUAAGCGCACAGUAUCGCAUGAUACAGUGUGAAAAACUCCGGUGGUACAAGAUGGACCCGCGUCUGAUUAGCUAGUUGGUAAGGUAACGGCUUACCAAGGCGACGAUUAGUAGCCGACCUGAGAGGGUGACCGGCCACAUUGGGACUGAGACACGGCCCAA
rnacentral:rRNA from 1 species